AAUGGGUCAGCGACUUAUAUUCUGUAGCAAGGUUAACCGAAUAGGGGAGCCGGAGGGAAACCGAGUCUUAAUUGGGCGUUAAGUUGCAGGGUAUAGACCCGAAACCCGGUGAUCUAGCCAUGGGCAGGUUGAAGGUUGGGUAACACUAACUGGAGGACCGAACCGACUAAUGUUGAAAAAUUAGCGGAUGACCUGUGGCUGGGGGUGAAAGGCCAAUCAAACCGGGAGAUAGCUGGUUCUCCCCGAAAGCUAUUUAGGUAGCGCCUCGUGAAUUCAUCUCCGGGGGUAGAGCACUGUUUCGGCUAGGGGGCCAUCCCGGCUUACCAACCCGAUGCAAACUGCGAAUACCGGAGAAUGUUAUCACGGGAGACACACGGCGGGUGCUAACGUCCGUCGUGAAGAGGGAAACAACCCAGACCGCCAGCUAAGGUCCCAAAGUCAUGGUUAAGUGGGAAACGAUGUGGGAAGGCCCAGACAGCCAGGAUGUUGGCUUAGAAGCAGCCAUCAUUUAAAGAAAGCGUAAUAGCUCACUGGUCGAGUCGGCCUGCGCGGAAGAUGUAACGGGGCUAAACCAUGCACCGAAGCUGCGGCAGCGACGCUUAUGCGUUGUUGGGUAGGGGAGCGUUCUGUAAGCCUGUGAAGGUGUGUCGUGAGGCAUGCUGGAGGUAUCAGAAGUGCGAAUGCUGACAUAAGUAACGAUAAAGCGGGUGAAAAGCCCGCUCGCCGGAAGACCAAGGGUUCCUGUCCAACGUUAAUCGGGGCAGGGUGAGUCGACCCCUAAGGCGAGGCCGAAAGGCGUAGUCGAUGGGAAACGGGUUAAUAUUCCCGUACUUGGUGUUACUGCGAAGGGGGGACGGAGAAGGCUAUGUUGGCCGGGCGACGGUUGUCCCGGUUUAAGCGUGUAGGUGUGUGUUCCAGGUAAAUCCGGUUCACUUUAACACUGAGGCGUGAUGACGAGGCACUACGGUGCUGAAGUAACAAAUGCCCUGCUUCCAGGAAAAGCCUCUAAGCAUCAGGUAACAUCAAAUCGUACCCCAAACCGACACAGGUGGUCAGGUAGAGAAUACCAAGGCGCUUGAGAGAACUCGGGUGAAGGAACUAGGCAAAAUGGUGCCGUAACUUCGGGAGAAGGCACGCUGACACGUAGGUGAAGUGAUUUACUCAUGGAGCUGAAGUCAGUCGAAGAUACCAGCUGGCUGCAACUGUUUAUUAAAAACACAGCACUGUGCAAACACGAAAGUGGACGUAUACGGUGUGACGCCUGCCCGGUGCCGGAAGGUUAAUUGAUGGGGUCAGCGCAAGCGAAGCUCCUGAUCGAAGCCCCGGUAAACGGCGGCCGUAACUAUAACGGUCCUAAGGUAGCGAAAUUCCUUGUCGGGUAAGUUCCGACCUGCACGAAUGGCGUAAUGAUGGCCAGGCUGUCUCCACCCGAGACUCAGUGAAAUUGAACUCGCUGUGAAGAUGCAGUGUACCCGCGGCAAGACGGAAAGACCCCGUGAACCUUUACUAUAGCUUGACACUGAACAUUGAGCCUUGAUGUGUAG
rnacentral:rRNA from 1 species